CGGGGCGUAGCGCAGCCUGGAUUAGCGCGCCACCUUGGGGUGGUGGAGGUCGCCCGUUCGAAUCGGGUCGCCCCGA
rnacentral:tRNA from 1 species